CAGCGAUCUCAGCCUUCCGCCCGAAGACAGGGCUGUCAAAGGCCCGGAGUCCCAGGAACUGAGGGGGCCCCUUGUCCCCGCCUGCAGGCCUGGGUCCCCGAGGAAGGAGGCUCCUUGUCACGGAGGCUAGGCCGGCUGCCCUGCCAGUGCAGCGUCCACACAGGAGGGGGAACCAGGUUGACUAGAGAACACUGGUAAAAGAUAACCAGUCCUGUUAUUUUGCUGGACACACUCAUACUGCCAUACUGGAAGUUAAGAUACUGAAAUCUCUGGAUGAAUUGUUUAAAGCCACUGUCCUCCUGAGGACCUACCACAGGCACUGAACUCUGCACCUUCCCUGGGACCUCCCCCUUAUUCACCUUCUCCAGGAUCCAGCAACCAAAGGGGCCCUAAAGGACCAACUCCAAACUAUGACCAGUUGCCAUUCUCUCAUGUUGAGUCUUCCCUGGUAGAAGUAACACUUGGCAGCAAAGAAGAAAGAGAAGAGGCCAUCUGGUCCAGUACGGGUCUGAGGUGAUAAGGACUUCAUCUGGUUUUACCUCAGCAGUGAACAUUUGAGGAGAGAGAAAGCAAAGACCCUGCAGGAAUCACCGGAAGUCCACCAGAAACUCGAGAACUUGGCUUUUGAAGGAACAACAAAUGCCUGACACUUCUCUGGGAGGAAGGAUCAGAUUCUGACUCGUGGUGGGCCAAUACAGAAGAGAGUGAGAAGGGGGAAAAGGCUCUGGGAACUAGCUGGCAUAACCAAGUACCUCCUAACAUGAAAUCUUUUGCCUUUUGUAUGAAACCAAAGAAGCACAAUAUUUGGCCCCCUUCAGAUUAAAGAUGUUCUAUUGAUUUACUUAUCAGAGAGCCCCUCAAACAUUUAUAUUGGCAAUGAUUAGGCUAGAAACUGACCCCACCCUGCCCCCUUCAGGGGUGGGGGUUCAGA